UGCCCCAUAGUCUGGGAUACCACUUGGAAACAGGUGCUAAUACCGGAUAAGAAAGCGGAUCGCAUGAUCAGCUUUUAAAAGGCGGCGUAAGCUGUCGCUAUGGGAUGGCCCCGCGGUGCAUUAGCUAGUUGGUAAGGUAAAGGCUUACCAAGGCGAUGAUGCAUAGCCGAGUCGAGAGACUGAUCGGCCACAUUGGGACUGAGACACGGCCCAAACUCCUACGGGAGGCAGCAGGG
rnacentral:rRNA from 1 species